CGAGUUGGUCGGGCAGCCGCUGGAGACAGAGGAAAGUCCGGACUCCGCAGGGCAGAACGCCAGAGAAAUUCUGGGGGGCGCGAGCCUACGGAAAGUGCAGCAGAAAAUAAACCGCCUCAUUGAGGUCAGGGUGAAAAGGUGCGGUAAGAGCGCACCGCGAGCGCCAGCAAUGGCGCCGGCAGGCAAACCCCGUUCGGAGCAAGGUCAAAUAGGGAUCCUGCAGUGCGGCCCGUACUGGAUCCGGGUAGACCGCAAGAGGGUCGCAGCGAUGCGGCUCCCAGGUGAAUGGCUGUCCACGACAGAAUCCGGCUUACAGGCCAACUCAAUUU
rnacentral:RNase_P_RNA from 1 species